rnacentral:rRNA from 1 species
CGGGGACAACAUUCCGAAAGGGGUGCUAAUACCGGAUGUGACGCUCCCUAUCGCAUGACGGGAGCGUGAAAGAUGGCCUCUACAUGUAAGCUAUCGCUAAAGGAUGGGCCUGCGUCUGAUUAGCUAGUUGGUAGUGUAACGGACAACCAAGGCGAUGAUCAGUAGCCGGUCUGAGAGGAUGAACGGCCACAUUGGGACUGAGACACGGCCCAG